GAAUUACUCCCUCCGUUCGGAAUUACUUGUCGCAGAAACGGAUGUAUCUAGAUGUAUUUUAGUUCUAGAUACAUCCAUAUCCGAGACAAGUAAUUCCGAACGGAGGGAGUACUUG
rfam:Triticum aestivum genome assembly, contig: Triticum_aestivum_CS42_TGACv1_scaffold_018976_1AS